rnacentral:rRNA from 1 species
UGCCAGCCGCCGCGGUAAUACAUAGGCUCCAAGCGUUGUUCGGAUUUACUGGGCGUAAAGCGAGUGUAGGCGGUUCGCUAAGUCGAUUGUGAAAUCUCCCGGCUCAACUGGGAGGGUGCGGUCGAAACUAGCGAACUAGAGUGCGAGAGGGGAGAGUGGAAUUCCUGGUGUAGCGGUGAAAUGCGUAGAUAUCAGGAGGAACACCGGUGGUGAAGACGGCUCUCUGGAUCGCUACUGACGCUGAGACUCGAAAGCGUGGGGAGCAAACAGGAUUAGAUA